UUUUAUUCGAUUUAAUCAAUAAUAUAAUCUGCUCAAUGACUAAUUAAAUAGCCGCAAAAUAUGUGCUAAGGUAGCAUAAUCAUUCGUUUUUUAAUUGAAAACUAGAACAAAAGAUUAAACACUUAAUUUUUUAUAAAAUAUUUAUAAAUAUAAAAUUCUCUUAAAUGUAAAAAGACAUUUAUUUUAAAGAAAGACGAUAAGACCCUAUUGAACUUAACUAUAGUUAAACUGGGGCAGUUUAUUAAUUAUUAUUUUAAUGAAUAUAUAAAAUCAAUUAUCUAAUAACAUUAACCAAACAAGCUACCAUAGGGAUAACAGCGUAAUAUAAAUUCAAAGCUCUUAUUAAAAUUUAUGAUUACGACCUCGAUGUUGAAUAAUAUCCUUAACAAAUAUGCAACCUUAUAAUAAGGAAGUCUGUUCGACUUUUAAAAAAUUACA
rnacentral:rRNA from 1 species